rnacentral:lncRNA from 1 species
AUGGUGGUGAUUCGCCUGAAUCCCCUUCAACUCUUAUCUGGCUUGGGAAACAAUGAAUUUGAAUUUUGAAGAAGAAAGGGAAAGAUGGGUAUGAGCUGGGUUUUUGACGUUUUGUGUGUACAGGGUGAAAGAGAUGUUACAGAGAGAGUUGGGGACUGUGCUUUAGUUAAACAUAAAAAAGUAAAAAAUCUCACAAAAUUACACAUAAGAUUAUACUAACGUGGAGGGGCUAGAAUUUUGACAAGUGUGUUGGUUUAAUGAGGUGAUGCCAAGUGGCAGAACCUUGUUGUUUUAUUAGGUAUAGAGAUAUAUAAAAACACUCCAUAGAAUAUACUUAUAAAAUAAUUAAAAUUACUUUCUUCUCGAUGUUCAUAAACCCAAUGAAUCUUGGUAUACCAUGUUAUUAAUUUUCUUUUGUCAAUUUAUUUAUGCAGCAUUAAACAUAACAUGUCCAUAUAGUUUAUAAAAGGGGGGUUACGACACAGCUUGCUGCCCGUUUACCUGCCGUUUACCUGCCGUUUGUUUGUAAUUUGUUGUUUUGGCAUUUUAUAAAAUAUUUUCAUUAUAUUUUAUGAUUUUAAAAAAAUAUAUGCUUGACAAAAAUCUGUGUAAAUAUUUCUUUUAAUUCUCUAGUUAAUACGGAAAAAAAUCUAUACAUGUGCUUUUUUCGUGAAAGACAACAUCUCAAACCCGGUACUUAUAUUCCUCAUUAGACAUUCUUGAAUUCGCCUAAAGUUUGUAGAAACUUAGAAACUCGUAUGCUUGACAAAAAUGUGUGUAAAUACUUCUUUCAUUCUCUAGUAAAUACGC